GGUGGCUCAGUGGUAGAGUGCUUGUCUUGUGUACAUGAGGCCCUGGGUUCGAUUCCUCAGCACCA
rfam:Dipodomys ordii contig_57664, whole genome shotgun sequence.